CCACUCCCGGUUGGACAUCAAAGCUAGGUUAUGAAUUCCCCAAUUUUUGCAUUUCUUAGUUCUAUUUCAAUCAGAUUUUUAGAGUAGUGUUGACCAAUUCUGUUUGUCCACUUCGAUCUGCUCUGGAGAGACAAAAACAUAACCCGUACGAGUGUAGUUGCGACCGACCCAGAGCGAGGAGAUGCGGACGAGGUGAUGCCGGCCUCGCGGAUCGAUGGAUCCUCGCCUGAUGUGGCAGCGAUGGGCGAAGCGUCGCCGCGGUUGCUUACUUCCUUGGUGCACCACUCACGAUUGAAACCGGCAGUGAUUACUGAUUAAUAGAGGCACCUUAUGGCAGACCGACAGUUUUCAGAAGGAAAAAAACAGAGCGACGAGAGGGUGAUUGGAUGAAGACGGUGAUGGGCGGACUGUUUAUUCGCGCGAUUAAUGGCGUAGAAGGUGCGCCUCCUUCCGUUCCCUUUCCUUCCGGUCGCAGUGGAGGACGGUUUCAUGUCUGCCCACCUCCUCUCCCUGAUUCCUCAUAUAAGAUGUGCGAUCGUCCUCCAAUAUUUCCUCAUUUCUUCGAUUAGGGAGACUCUUCUACCGGCCAAGAGUUCCAUUCGAUGGUGAACGUCCGGCAGCUGCGAAAGGCUACUUCCAGCGUAUAUGGAUUGUCAACAGCGAGCGGGCAGUUGGUCACACGUCCAUAUGGGUUCGGUUCUCUUCGAUCUCAAUGGACAGCAUGCUGCUCGGUCAGAUGUUGCUGGAUACUAUAGCACCCUGCAACUACUUGAGGCAAUAGCAAUGCAGCUAGAUUAUGUUGGUGGGAAAGCUACCAUACAUCUGCGAAGAUCUCUAAUCAUGCUACGUUUAAGAUCGGACAACUAGCCCCAAGGAGGAUAAAUUAUCUGUCAGGUAGUUUUCAAGUCAAUGUGCAAAGGUAACUUGUGGUAUUUCUUAAUUAGUCUUUUUGAGCGACAUAGAAGAGAAGCAUGCAAGAGCCGAAGCAUAAAUUCUGGCAGUUCACCAAAGUCCAUGGCAGCGCAACAUGUAGGUUCAUUUUAGUUCAUAGCACGAAAAAGAAGCAAAUUUGGUUCCAGUUGUUGUGACUUGUGACGUCUGAUAAUGCUACUCCCUGGCAA